UUGGAGGGCAAGUCUGGUGCCAGCAGCCGCGGUAAUUCCAGCUCCAAUAGCGUAUAUUAAAGUUGUUGCAGUUAAAAAGCUCGCAGUUGAAUUUCGGGGUUAGUAGGUUGGUCAUGCCUCCGGUAUGUACUGAUCUCACUGAUUCCUCCUUCCUUAUGAACCGUAAUGCCAUUAAUUUGGUGUUGCGGGGAAUUUGGACUGUUACUUUGAAAAAAUUAGAGUGUUUAUAGCAGGCUAACGCUUGAAUACAUUAGCAUGGAAUAAUGAAAUAGGACGUUCGAUCUUAUUUUGUUGGUUUCUAGGAUUGACGUAAUGAUUAAUAGGGAUAGUUGGGGGCAUUAGUAUUCAAUUGUCAGAGGUGAAAUUCUUGGAUUUAUUGAAGACUAACUACUGCGAAAGCAUUUGCCAAGGAUGUUUUCAUUAAUCAAGAACGAAAGUUAGGGGAUCGAAGACGAUCAGAUACCGUCGUAGUCCUAACCAUAAACUAUGCCGACUAGGGAUCGGAUGAUGUUAAUUUUUUAAUGACUCAUUCGGCGCCUUACGGGAAAC
rnacentral:rRNA from 1 species